rnacentral:rRNA from 1 species
GAUGAACGCUGGCGGCGUGCCUAAUACAUGCAAGUCGAGCGAACGGACGAGAAGCUUUCUUCUCUGAUGUUAGCGGCGGACGUGUGAGUAACACGUGGAUAACCUACCUAUAAGACUGGGAUAACUUCGGGAAACCGGAGCUAAUACCGGAUAAUAUUUUGAACCGCAUGGUUCAAAAGUGAAAGACGGUCUUGCUGUCACUUAUAGAUGGAUCCGCGCUGCAUUAGCUAGUUGGUAAGGUAACGGCUUACCAAGGCAACGAUGCAUAGCCGACCUGAGAGGGUGAUCGACCACACUGGAACUGAGACACGUUCCACACUCAUACGAGAGGCAGCAGUAGGGAAUCUUCCGACAUGAGCGAAAGCCUGACGGAGCAACACCGCGUGAGUGAUGAAGGUCUUCGGAUCGUAAAACUCUGUUAUUAGGGAAGAACAUAUGUGUAAGUAACUGUGCACAUCUUGACGGUACCUAAUCAGAAAGCCACGGCUAACUACGUG